rnacentral:rRNA from 1 species
GCACCCGCGGUAAUUCCAGCUCCAAUAGCGUAUAUUAAAGUUGUUGCAGUUAAAAAGCUCGUAGUUGGAUUUCUGCGAGGGUGCCAAUGUCCGCCGACGCGCGUGCGCAGCGGCGCCCUCGCAUCCUUCUGUUACCACCUCUCGGCAUUCACUUGCCGGUGGUCGGCUCAGAGAAUUUACCUUGAGAAAAUUAGAGUGUUUCAGGCAGGCUAGGCCGGAAUACAUUAGCAUGGAAUAAUGGAAUAGGACUACGGUCUCGUUGUUGGUUUGAGGGACCGCAGUAAUGAUUAAUAGGGAUAGUUGGGGGCAUUAGUAUUUAAUUGUCAGAGGUGAAAUUCUCAGAUUUGUUAAAGACUAACUUAUGCGAAAGCAUUUACCAAGGAUGUUUUCAUCGAUCAAGAACGAAAGU